rnacentral:tRNA from 1 species
UUUUUUAUAGUGUAAAUAACACAUAACAUUUUCAUUGUUAAGAUGAUAGAAAAAUCUAAAAAAA